GCACUUUAUACUGUGAAACUGCGAAUGGCUCAUUAAAUCAGUUAUCGUUUAUUUGAUAGUACCUUGCUACAUGGAUACCUGUGGUAAUUCUAGAGCUAAUACAUGCUAAAAACCCCGACUUCAGGAAGGGGUGUAUUUAUUAGAUAAAAAACCAACGCCCUUCGGGGCUCCUUGGUGAAUCAUAAUAACUUAACGAAUCGCAUGGCCUUGCGCCGGCGAUGGUUCAUUCAAAUUUCUGCCCUAUCAACUUUCGAUGGUAGGAUAGUGGCCUACCAUGGUGGCAACGGGUAACGGGGAAUUAGGGUUCGAUUCCGGAGAGGGAGCCUGAGAAACGGCUACCACAUCCAAGGAAGGCAGCAGGCGCGCAAAUUACCCAAUCCCGAUACGGGG
rnacentral:rRNA from 1 species